ACCCAUUGAUAUUGGAUUAAGGCUCAUUUUUGGAGGACCUAGUUCAACCUAUAACAGAUGGCAAUAACAAGCAAGACUCCAAGUUCAGAAGAAAUAGAAUUAAGACGUGAACCCAGAAGGGUAGUAACGUGUCAAGAGAAUUCAGGAGCUUUGCACCCAGAGGUUAUUUGAGCGUGGUUGAGAAUGUUGAAGAGGCAUCCCUGGUAUGUUCCAGAACAAGUAGGGAAGUACGACCACUCUACCAUUGUGCUGACUUUAUGGCAGAUGGACUGGAGGAAUGAAGGGGCAGGUGGCUGGUGUGAACCAGGGGUCCUGUAGAAGCAGCAGAGGUCAAAGCUGAGGCAGGAGUUGACGAGAAGUAAGAUUUACCACUUUCCUUCCCAGCAUGCAUCGUGGUCACACAGAUAAACUUCUUCCCACGACCGUGGUCAAGGAUUCCCUCUUCUUCCUCUUCAGAAUUCCUACUUGCAGCUGACAGUUGACACACCAAGCCCCUUGAAGGGCCAAAGGGGAACAUUCAGAAUUGAAAACAGCCAGAUUACAGUUUUACACUUCCUGGUUUUGAAACCCCUGAGAAGCACAAAAUUGAAAAAAAUCAAAAUGGCUGCACUGAUGCUUCAGCGAAGCUCCAUUUUAAAGUAACCAUUUUCCUCUUUUCCGCAAACAUCCUCCCCGCCCCUUUUUUUUCCAGGAACUAGGUACCACCCUGAAAACAACCAAGGGGGCUGGCAGCACUUACGCAAUUCCUGUUGAAACCGACUAGAUCCCGUAUUUCCCUAUAAAAUGCAGCAGUCCCUUCCUCUGGAUAGCCUGCGGUUUUUUGAAGGCAAUAGCGAGCUGCAGUCUCCUUUGCCUGGCAAAGCAAUAAAACUAUUGUUCCUCUUUAUCCCAAACUUUAUCUUUGUGUUAUAUUUUGGCUCUGAAGCAUGGAGUUCAGUUUUUGACAACAUUUUGUUCUUGCAGCAUUUUUCAUCUACUACUGUAUCUGCAUGGCUUGUGCCAACAUUGAUCAUCUAAUCUAAAUAGCAUGAGAAAGGAGAUACCACAUCCGUCCUGUAUCCCUAGGACUUAACACAAUGAAUGUUUAUGAAACAGAAGUAUCUUCCCAAGGGUACGAAGGGUUAGUGCCCGCCUUGCCAGGAUAGAAAAUUUUCUUCUUUUCUUUCCUCAUCUCCCCUCAGAGAUGGAGCUCAACUUCCAACUAACAUUAAAGAAGUUGUGUUUGUGAUCUAG